rnacentral:miRNA from 1 species
AACCUCAUCAACCAGAAGGAAUCCCUUCCGGUUGAUGAGGUGUAACAACCUCAUCAACCGGAAGGAAUCCCUUCCAGUUGAUGAGGUG